rnacentral:rRNA from 1 species
AGGAAGUAAAAGUCGUAACAAGGUUUCCGUAGGUGAACCUGCGGAAGGAUCAUUAUCACGUAUCCACGUAUAAACCAUUGUGAACCGUUCUAAACCUCUAAGAUGAGUGAGCCAGUUGUAUAUCAAACAUUUUAAGCGGUCUUCUUGUGAUUAAACCGUGGUUUGGUAUGCCACAGUCGUUUAUCUCCGGAUUUCGAUUGUACUUGCUUAUUUUAGAGUGUAUUUCUUAAUCACUAUCUAUUAACCAUUUUAACCCAAUCUUUAUAACUUAUUGAACUAAUUUUAUUUCUUACUCUCCGGAGAAGAAAUUCAUUACGAAACAAAGAACAACUCUUAGCAACGGAUAUCUUGGUUCUCGUAACGACGAAGAACGCAGCGAAAUGCGAUACGUAAUGCGAAUUGCAGAAUUCAGUGAAUCAUCAAAUCUUUGAACGCAAAUUGCGCUUUCUGGAUAGGCCAGGGAGCAUGCCUCUUUGAGUCUCGUUUCUACCUCAUCUCGACUGCUUUCUGAAAAGAAGACAGGCGGAAAAUGAGUGUCUCAUUCGAAAUGAGUGAGUCGCUUUAAGAAGAGUGAGUUCCUAAACUCCUAGUAUUCAGAAUCAGCAAUGAUUCGCCUAUUAUUAGGUUACAAUUUACUAGUGGCGUAGUUAAAUUUAUUUCUCAACGUCAUUUGGUUGAUUGCGACUUGGUUUUCGGGUUCGGAUACAUGGUAAAUUGGUACUCAAUGGAAAUUAAAUUUAUUUUUGAAUUAGAGCUCAAAUGAAGCAAGAUUACCCGCUGAACUUA